rnacentral:rRNA from 1 species
AAUCAACGCUGGCGGCGUGCCUAAUACAUGCAAGUCGAACGCGAAAGUCCCGCAAGGGAUGAGUAGAGUGGCAAACGGGUGAGUAACGCGUGGGUGACCUGCCUCCGAGUGGGGGAUAACGUCCCGAAAGGGACGCUAAUACCGCAUGACAUCCUGCCUUUGAACAGGCGGAGAUCAAAGCCGGGGACCGCAAGGCCUGGCGCUUGAAGAGGGGCCCGCGUCCGAUUAGCUAGUUGGNGGGGUAACGGCUCACCAAGGCAUCGAUCGGUAGCCGGCCUGAGAGGGCGGACGGCCACACUGGGACUGAGACACGGCCCAGACUCCUACGGGAGCAGCAGUAGGAAUUGUUCGCAAUGGGCGCAAGCCUGACGACGCAACGCCGCGUGG